GGUAGUCCACGCCGUAAACGCUGAGUGCUAGGUGUUAGGUCCUUUCCGGGACUUAGUGCCGACGCUAACGCAUUAAGCACUCCGCCUGGGGAGUACGACCGCAAGGUUGAAACUCAAAGGAAUUGACGGGGGCCCGCACAAGCGGUGGAGCAUGUGGUUUAAUUCGAAGCAACGCGAAGAACCUUACCAGGUCUUGACAUCCCGAUGCCCGCUCUAGAGAUAGAGUUUUACUUUUUGUACAUCGGAGACAGGUGGUGCAUGGUUGUCGUCAGCUCGUGUCGUGAGAUGUUGGGUUAAGNNNNNNNNCGAGCGCAACCCUUAUUGUUAGUUGCCAUCAUUAAGUUGGGCACUCUAGCGAGACUGCCGGUAAUAAACCGGAGGAAGGUGGGGAUGACGUCAAAUCAUCAUGCCCCUUAUGACCUGGGCUACACACGUGCUACAAUGGUUGGUACAACGAGUCGCAAGCCGGUGACGGCAAGCUAAUCUCUGAAAGCCAAUCUCAGUUCGGAUUGUAGGCUGCAACUCGCCUACAUGAAGUCGGAAUCGCUAGUAAUCGCGGAUCAGCACGCCGCGGUGAAUACGUUCCCGGGCCUUG
rnacentral:rRNA from 1 species